UUAUUAACUGAUUUUAAUGAUCCUGGCUAUAUUUUAUUUGAAGUUAUUCUCCUACUUGCAAUGACUUUUGAACCCUCAAAACUCUUUCAUCCAUUCUCUACAGACAGUACACUUUCAUGAGCAAUGACAUUUAAAAAGGAUCCAUAUACUCAGAAUGUAAAGAUAAUACACUCACAUAUAAUUUAUAAAAGACUCUGGCCAUUUGUUAAAGAGAGAAAUGAAUGAACCCCUAUUAUUCACGGUUUGUAAAUAAAUUUAAAGAUAAGCGCUAACUUUUCACUUGUUAAGCCUACAGAGGAGAGUUCUGUGUUUCUUCUAAAGUUUCCCAGAUGGUCAUUAAAACAAGAAAGGGCAGCAACAUACUUUUUUGAAAUCCAUCAUUUCUCAUCCAGAAGGAUAACUGAAGUCAUCAAAAGUUAAGUCUUAAAAGAUUAAUAAUUACAGGUGUUUUCAAAUGAAAUAAUGUAUGUCUCUGUAUGCUAGGAUUUUUAUUCUCUAUAUAAAUCUACAAUGAAUAAUGUACUUCAGACAAACAAGUUAGCUGUGAAACAAAAUGCUAUAAACCUUUAAUUAGCACUUGCUGUUUUAUAUUCAUAAAGUUAAUACUUCCUCUUCUACAACAUUCGGUGUACAAAGAAAAAUUACAAGCAAUAAAAUUGGGGAUUUUUUUUCAUUCCUGAAAUUAACAGUAGGAAAAUGCAGUCUCUGUUUCAGUAUAAAGACUGUUAUACUUUUACCUGUAAGCAAGGAAAGGCAAACACCCCUUUGAAUGAAUACAGUUUGAUUCCUCCCAAUGUGGAAUGCUGUAUCUAACUUUCAGAAGUUGGUUACCCACAGCACUCCGGAUGAUCAGAUUGCUAAAUUACCAAGACAGUAAGUUAUUUCAGGCACAUAGCUGGAUUAAGAAAAUAUAACACAAACCAGCUUCCAUCCACACUCCUGAAGUUGAACAAGCACCUCAAUAAAUAAUGACUGUUUUCAGGCUUUAUACACCCUCCCUGAAAUAAACGUUCUUGAGUUUAAAUUGACUCAAAAUAGCCUUUCUCGGAAAAUAAAAAGAGACACACAAAACACCCACAAUUUCCUCUGGUCCCUUGAAGUACCCUUGGGAUUCUCGUGAACAGAGAUUUGCCACGCAUUGCAGUGACUGGAUUAGUACAAUAGGUUUCUAUUUUGGUGUCAUUCGAGUGUUGCUGAUCUUAAAUCAGAGAAAGAAGUAGUUACAUUAGACAAGGUAAUGGCUUCCAAAAAUAAGAGCAUGGCCAGUUUAUACAAAGCUCGCAUACACGGGCUAAGUUGUAAGGAGAUAAAUAAUACCCCACUGGAACAAUUAGGGGAUUCUCAGAAACACUACAUCCUUAAUUAGGCUGCCUAAGUCCCUGACUGAGCAUACAUGCGGGACUUUUUAAAGCACUUAAUAACCUGAGUAAAUCCAAAGUCAGAAGACAGAAACCAGUCCUUAACUCUGGCUACAGCGAUGGGCCUUUUCUUGCUUGCUUUUCAAUGCUUAAUAUAUUACUCUUGGAAUUCUGAAAAUACGUACGCCCCACCACGAUCCACCAAAGGGUUAAAAACACCGAAUAAAGUCCCUUCAUUUAUCCUUAUUGGGAGCCCCGCGAUUCAGACGCGUUUCAGACACCGGGCUGGCCCUGGAUGACACAGGCGAUGAGAGAGACCCUAAUGGUGUUUUACAAACUUCAUCCCUGGAGUUGGGAACGGAGUAUAAACAAAUAGGAACAGGGGCCUCCAUCAGCCACGGGGCACAGCAAACUGUUCCUCACUCUAGAUACAAUUCCUCCUCUUCCUGCUAUUUAUUCAUUAGUUUUGUAUAGCACCUUUCUUUCAGCAGGCUCCUUAUUUCCUCCUCUGUUAUCCCAGCAAUCAUAAACAAACUACGCUUUGAAAGAACACCGGGGGAGGAGGGAGGAGCAAGGGGAAGGGGAAAGAAAAUCGCACUCAAAAGGCGCAGGCCGUCCGGAGCUGGGCUCUUUCUCUGAAUAUCGCCCUCCGGGUGGUGUUGUCGCCAAAGCUUUGCCCUUGGGGUUGCAGGAAGGAUAAGAGACCUGGGGUCCGAGCGGCCCUGGCUUCGGCUCCCGCACGGACUUGCUGCGCCGGAGCCCUUCUGAGGUCCACCUUCGGCCACCUGAAAUGUUCAGUCCUGGAACUUCGUGCAGGGGGAGGCGCAGGAGGUGUGGUGACCCCAGGGCGUGGUGUGGAGGUCUGCAACUCUGAGAUCCCCGAAAUGCAAAACUUAACUUCCCCUCCCCCCAAAAAAAAUUGAAAGAAGAGAAGCCACCGCUUGCUCUAACCCGGGAGGGGCGGGCACCACCGUUCCGUGGUCCAAAACGCUCCAGAGAGAGGCCAGCAAAGGCCAACUGCCGGGGUCCUACUACCUCAGGCCCCCGCUCCUGUCCCUGUCCCGGCUCCAGGGCACCUCAAAAGUUUGUUCCUUCCCUUCCCUGAGCAGCCCCGGGGCCCAGCUUCAGAGUGGGUGAGGGAGGUGAGAUGGAAGGGGGUUGUGGACCGAAACCAUCGGACCAAGAGAUGAGGGACCCCUGCGCUGUCCCCCUCCCCACACUCAGGGGCUGCGACCGUGUUUACUAAUAAAAGCAACAAAGAAUCACACGCAAGUCCCGUCUUUCAGCCCUCGGGCGGCUCUUGGCUUGGGGCAGCGGAUCGUCGGGGGAGGCGAGCAGAGAGGCGGAGGGCAGAGCAGAGCGCCCGCAAAGGGACAAAAAGGGGGUGGGAAGGGGGCAGAGGAGAAGAGGGGGAGAGUUAGCCAGAGACGGAGGCGCAGCCGGAAAGGAACCGAUAAGGGAGCGAAGAGGGCAGAGAAAAGUGAAAAGGAGGACCUCUCUCUACUUAAUGUGGCCCAAGUAUCAGCAGGAUCAUCUGAAAAGAAGUUUCUUAGACACCUGGGCCUCACCCCAGAACUGCAGAAUUGGACAUUUUACAGGAUCCACUGGUGGUUCAGGUGCACUUUGAGGACAAUUGGCAAUAUUCAAGAUGGUGGAUUUGCCAUCAGCCAUGGUGGAUUUGUCCCAGAGUGAUUCUACUGACCUUCAAUUCCAUGCCAACCUGGGAUGAGC